rnacentral:pre_miRNA from 1 species
GGGGCAGAAGAGCCAGGACCUACAUCAGUUUCUUUCCGCGGUAAUAAAUAAUACAUUAUUAUCACCGGGAGAAAAACUGGAGUAGGACCUGCGACUCGA